rfam:Pan troglodytes isolate Yerkes chimp pedigree #C0471 (Clint) chromosome 3, whole genome shotgun sequence.
AUCACCUGGGGACCUUGAUAAACUGUAGAUUCAGAUUCAGUGGGUCUGGGACCAGGCCUGAGAUUCUGCAUUUCUAACAAGCUCUCAGGUGAGGCUGA